rnacentral:sRNA from 1 species
GCCGGGCGCAGUGGCUCACGCCUGUAAUCCCAGCACUUUGGGAGGCCGAGGCGGGUGGAUCACCUGAGGUCAGGAGUUCGAGACCAGCCUGACCAACAUGGAGAAACCUCGUCUCUACUAAAAAUACAAAAUUAGCUGGGCGUGGUGGCGCAUGCCUAUAAUCCCAGCUACUAGGGAGGCUGAGGCAAGAGAAUUGCUUGAGCCUGGGAGGCAGAGGUUGUGGUGAGCCGAGAUCGUGCCAUUGCACUCCAGCCUGGGCAACAAGAGUGAAACUCCGCCUCA